rnacentral:misc_RNA from 1 species
AACUAAUGUCCACAUUUUUCUGCACAAGUUGGAAACAAGGACCAAUUACUGCAUCGCAUCAUAAUGAUAAUAACUACAGUCUACAGAUGUACAAAGUUGGCGUUCAGACAGUAUUUUCAGAUCAUGAAAAAUUCGAACAGUUUUCCUUCAUUUAAGUUCUUUUCAGCGACUCUUUUGCUCUUCCUUUUCUCAAGAGUUGAGUCACGAUAUCUCAAUAUUGGUUUUUCUUUCUUCAAACCAGUAGCUUUCUUGCUGCUCAUGGAUUGAUCUUGUUCCAUAUAGUUAUUCCACACUUGAACAAAAAAA